rnacentral:misc_RNA from 1 species
AAUAAGUUUACAUGUUAUAUGUGUAUUAAGUCACUCGAACGAACAAAAAUGAUCUUUACAUCCUACCAUGCAUAAGGAUAAUUAGUUUCUGUAAGAUGCAGUAUUUAUAGAUCUUAUCACAAAGCCCAUAACAUACUAUUUUGUCUCACUGUCCUUUUGUCAUAUCAAAGUCUUCAUCAUCCUUUAUGUAUUUCUCCUGCACAGCUGCAACUCGGUAGUAGUCCCAAUCAACAGGACCAACUGCAAUUUUGCUGAACUCAACAGCACUUGCAUCUAUGCCUGCAAAUAUGUAUCCAUUGCUUUUGUCAAUUAGCUUAACUAGAUUCCCAACACUCUCUUUAUCCUGGAUAUCUAAAGGUGUGAAGUUGACAAGUCCAUAAUCUUCUAUCACCUCACAAAGCUCCUUUGUAAGCUUUCUAUACUUAGCAGAGCGAGGAUCCUGACUGAUCUCAUUCUGCAGAUAUGAUAAAUCUUGGACAUCUGUGUAGAAGUCUAGGUUAAAAGCUAGCUUUCCGUAGCUUUCAAUUAGAUCAAUCUUUGACAAAACAUUGACAUGAGGAAGCUCCAAGUGUAACAUGGUGGAUAAAGAGAGGAGCAAUGCACUCACGUAUUUCCCUGGAUCACUGCAAAGAUGGGCAUCAACUAAAUGGACUGCAGUCAACCUUAGAUCUAACUUCUUUAUAAGUUCCAUAAUCAUAUUCUUCGCAUUGUCAUGAAGGAAAAAUAGUUCCACCUGACCCGGAAAAUCAAAAAGUAAAUAGUGCUCUUUAAGGAGAGGUUUUAACUUGGACUCCAACCAGUCAAUAUUCUUCUGGAGAUAGUCCAUGCAAUACACAAGCCCUCCAUUGGGACCAAGAGAAUGUUCAAUCAUUACAUCACUCAGCUUAAUUAGAUCCUCAAUAUUCACAGCACACUCAUAUGGUAAAGCAUCAUUAGCGGGAUCCAAAUUGAUAACAGCAACUUUCCGUCCAAUCAGUUGGAGGAACUGAGACAUUCCGUUGCAAUAAGUGGUUUUGCCGGAACCAGGGGGGCCAAUCACAACUUGACCAAACACCAUUCUUCUAAGUUCUAAUUCUAACCCUCAAAGCUCCUGUUAUCAGCUUCAAGUUUCGUGGAGUGCAGCCUGAAAGUGGAAGAGCUCCGCCGCUGAAGGCCGCCGGAGAAAUCGCACCAGCUUCAAAUUGACUUGUAGUGAUU